AACAGGAUUAGAUACCCUGGUAGUCCACGCUGUAAACGAUGUCGAUUUGAAAGUUGUGGCUUAAAGUCGUGGCUUUCGUAGCUAACGCGUUAAAUCGACCGCCUGGGGAGUACGGCCGCAAGGUUAAAACUCAAAUGAAUUGACGGGGGCCCGCACAAGCGGUGGAGCAUGUGGUUUAAUUCGAUGCAACGCGAAGAACCUUACCUACUCUUGACAUCCAGAGAACUUUCCAGAGAUGGAUUGGUGCCUUCGGGAACUCUGAGACAGGUGCUGCAUGGCUGUCGUCAGCUCGUGUUGUGAAAUGUUGGGUUAAGUCCCGCAACGAGCGCAACCCUUAUCCUUUGUUGCCAGCGGUUCGGCCGGGAACUCAAAGGAGACUGCCAGUGAUAAACUGGAGGAAGGUGGGGAUGACGUCAAGUCAUCAUGGCCCUUACGAGUAGGGCUACACACGUGCUACAAUGGCGUAUACAAAGAGAAGCGACCUCGCGAGAGCAAGCGGACCUCAUAAAGUACGUCGUAGUCCGGAUUGGAGUCUGCAACUCGACUCCAUGAAGUCGGAAUCGCUAGUAAUCGUAGAUCAGAAUGCUACGGUGAAUACGUUCCCGGGCCUUGUACACACCGCCCGUCACACCAUGGGAGUGGGUUGCAAAAGAAGUAGGUAGCUUAACCUUCGGGAGGGCGCUUACCACUUUGUGAUUCAUGACUGGGGUGAAGUCGUAACAAGGUAACCGUAGGGGAACCUGCGGCUGGAUCACCUCCUU
rnacentral:rRNA from 1 species